rnacentral:rRNA from 1 species
UACGUAGGGUGCGAGCGUUAAUCGGAAUUACUGGGCGUAAAGUGUGCGCAGGUGGCCGCGCAUGUCGAGUGUGAAAUCCCCGGGCUUAACUUGGGAAUUGCGCUCGAAACUACGUGGCUCGAGUGUGGCAGAGAAGGUGGAAUUCCACGUGUAGCGGUGAAAUGCGUAGAGAUGUGGAGGAACACCGAUGGCGAAGGCAGCCUUCUGGC